rnacentral:rRNA from 1 species
CCCUUAGAUGUCCUGGGCCGCACGCGCGUUACACUGAUGUAUUCAACGAGCUUAUAACCUUGGCCGAGAGGCCUGGGCAAUCUUGUUAACGUGCAUCGUGAUAGGGAUAGAUUAUUGAAAUUAUUAAUCUUGAACGAGGAAUUCCUAGUAAACGCAGAUCAUCAAUCUGCAUUGAUUACGUCCCUGCCCUUUGUACACACCGUCCGUCGCACCUACCGAUUGGAUGGUCCGGUGAAGCCUCGGGAUUGUGGUUCUUGCCGCUUUAUUGUGGCGUGACCGCGAGAACUUGUCUAAACCUUAUCAUCUAGAGGAAGGUGAAGUCGUAACA